GAUAGGUCUGUGGUGCAGGAUUGUGUUUUUCAUUGUUCUACUUUGAUAAGAAACAUUUUAUUCUGGCAAUGUUAUUGAGGUUGUAGUAGGCUGCCCUAUGGAUAUGCUUUAUUUGGUUGUUAAAGUUCAAGUCUGAUUCUGUGAUAACACCUAGGGUUUUUGCUUGUUCUGUGGUCUUCAGCUCCUUGGAGCCAAGUUCUAUCGGGAUGUGGGUUGUGUGUGUGUGUGUGUAUAUUGUGCUUGCAACAUUGUCUCAGUGUUUCAGAUGGUGCUGGAGUUCUCAGGUGUGCUGUGUGACAGGUGCGACUUAUUCUGCUGAUAGCAUGGAGGAGUACUUAAGCAGGAAGCUGCAAGCACUUUGACGCCAGAGUGUUUGCCUUCUGUAGUAACACGCUCAGCCAACUCUAAGUCUAUGCUUUGUCUUUCGAUCUUGAGUAACUUUGUUUAUGUCCCUUUGCAGGCUGAGAACCUGAGCCUUGGAUUUAUUUCACUGAACACUGACUUCGUGUCCAGAAGUUUCUGGGUGAUCAAGAUUAUCUACGUUCUGAGGACUUUGUUUCCUAACUACUGUUUCCAUCUGGACUCAGACCAAGCUGGCGGUUUCCUACUUCCUCCGUCUUCUGGACCAAGGCAUAAGCGUAUCCUGUCCACCCUCCAACGCAAGUAUUUGCAAAACGAACUUACUUCAGAUAUCUUCAAGUUCACACAAACAGCACCUCAGAAAUCAUCUGAACAAACUCCGCUUCGACAACCUGGAUCCCGAAUCCCUCUACCCCUGGUGACCUGACCGCACCUACUUAUUGGAGAUUCGUCCAUUCACGUUCCUGAUUAUUUGUGGCACAAUAAAACAUAAUUUUACCUAU